AUUGAACGCUGGCGGCAGGCUUAACACAUGCAAGUCGAGCGAGAGGCGGACGGGUGAGUAAUGUCUGGGAAACGGCCUGAUGGAGGGGGAUAACAACUGGAAACGGUAGCUAAUACAGCAUACAAUCAGAUGUGCCCAGAUGGGAUUAGAUAGUAGGUGGGGUAAUGGCUAAACUAGGCGACGUUCCCUAGCUGGUCUGAGAGGAUGACCAGCCACGCUGGAACUGAGACACGGUCCAGACUCCUCCGAGAGGCAGCAGUGGGGAAUAUUGCACAAUGGGCGCAAGCCUGAUGCAGCCAGGCCGCGUGUUUGAAGAAGGCCUUCGGGUUGUAAAGCACUUUCAGCGAGGAGGCGUUACUCGCAGAAGAAUCACCGGCUAACUCCGUGCCAGCAGCCGCGGUAAUUC
rnacentral:rRNA from 1 species